rnacentral:rRNA from 1 species
CACGAAGGUGGGCUAAUCACGGUUGGACAUCGUGAGGUUAGUGCAAUGGCAUAAGCCCGCUUAACUGCGAGAAUGACGGUUCGAGCAGGUGCGAAAGCAGGUCAUAGUGAUCCGGUGGUUCUGUAUGGAAGGGCCAUCGCUCAACGGAUAAAAGGUACUCCGGGGAUAACAGGCUGAUACCGCCCAAGAGUUCAUAUCGACGGCGGUGUUUGGCACCUCGAUGUCGGCUCAUCACAUCCUGGGGCUGAAGUCGGUCCCAAGGGUAUGGCUGUUCGCCAUUUAAAGUGGUACGCGAGCUGGGUUUAGAACGUCGUGAGACAGUUCGGUCCCUAUCUGCCGUGGGCGUUGGAAGAUUGAAGGGGGCUGCUCCUAGUACGAGAGGACCGGAGUGGACGAACCUCUGGUGUUCGGGUUGUGUCGCCAGACGCAUUGCCCGGUAGCUAAGUUCGGAAUUGAUAAGCGCUGAAAGCAUCUAAGCGCGAAGCGAGCCCUGAGAUGAGUCUUCCCUGACAGUUUAACUGUCCUAAAGGGUUGUUCGAGACUAGAACGUUGAUAGGCAGGGUGUGUAAGCGUUGUGAGGCGUUGAGCUAACCUGUACUAAUUGCCCGUGAGGCUUAACCAUACAACACCCAAGGGGUUUUGUA